rnacentral:rRNA from 1 species
CCUACGGGAGGCAGCAGUGGGGAAUAUUGCACAAUGGGGGAAACCCUGAUGCAGCGAAGCCGCGUGAGUGAAGCAGUAUUUCGGUAUGUAAAGCUCUAUCAGCAGGGAAGAAAUAGCGACCUUUGGGUCGCCAGACGGUACCUGAUUAAGAAGCCCCGGCUAACUACGUGCCAGCAGCCGCGGUAAUACGUAGGGGGCAAGCGUUAUCCGGAUUUACUGGGUGUAAAGGGAGCGUAGACGGCAGCACAAGUCUGAAGUGAAAUGCCGGGGCUUAACCCCGGAACUGCUUUGGAAACUGUGGAGCUAGAGUGCAGGAGAGGGAAGUGGAAUUCCUAGUGGAGCGGUGAAAUGCGUAGAUAUUAGGAGGAACACCAGUGGCGAAGGCGGCUUACUGGACUGUAACUGACGUUGAGGCUCGAAAGCGUGGGGAGCAAACAGGAUUAGAUACCCCAGUAGUC